CUAGAAAGAGAACAAAGAGCAGAUGGUAAAGAUCUUAGGAGAUAGUGACAGUAGUGAGCACCGAAAGUUGCCGGAAGUGAUCAUCAGAGGUUGCCGGAGGUUAUCACCGAUGGUUGAAGACAAGUUCAAUUUCCUCGAAAAUCGCAUUAGAAAGCAUGCAACAGCACUUGUUGCUUCUGGUCUGUUUGAGGAACCCAUUGACCCUACAGUUGCUUCACAAGUAAUAUAGUUGCUCCAUUUCUACCUCUCUCUUAUCCGCACACACUUGCAAUCUUAAAAAAUGGAGAAUUUACACUGUUUGGUGUGAGGAGUGGGAGAGAGCCUUUAAAUGAGGGUAGUUUUGAAAGAAAAUAAAAAAU